AAGUGAGAGAAUAAGAGAGAGAGAGACAGAGACAAAGAGAACACAAUGAGAGGUAGAAGAAAUAUACACAACAUUAGUGUUUCAGUGUUUAAGGCACACAGACAAAGAGGAACAGGCAUGAACCUCAGGCCUUCUAAUCAAGCACUGAGAAGAAUCAAGAUCUGAACUUCCUGAGUUACUUUUAGGCAUAUACAACUCUUCACAUGGACAAGAUAUUUACAUGUAAUUCUAACCUAUGAAACCAACUCUUAGAACAAGGUAUCUGGAAUUUACAUCACCACAGAACUACUCAGGGUACCCUUGUCCUCUUGGAAUACAUUUUGCUUGGCUGUCAUCUAAAGGAUCAUGCAAUGUACCAACACUAUGUAGUUCUGCUUGCUCAACAUGACAUGCAAAACCUGCCCGUGUUAUGCAUAUCAGUAGUAUUGUUCCACUGUGUCACUAUGAACAUGAAUAUUCUUUGAGUCUUUUUAUGUGUGUCCCCUGCUGGACAUGAGCCCUUGUUUUACUUAAGUACACAUAAAAAGUAGACAAAUGAGCCUUGUUUUACUUAAGUACACAUAAAAAGUAGACAAAUGAUUAGUAAACAUUACCAAUUUUGCUAGUAUUCAGACCUUCGUAAACCCCCUUCCUCCAGUAAUGUGUGACUUUCAUUUUACUCCACCCAACCAUUUCCACCCUUCAUGUUAGUGUGGACUGCAACUGCCUGUAUUUAUUAACAAUCUGUUAAGUUAAUUUUAGUAUUAACAAUCUGUUAAGAAUAUAAAGCUCUAAAAAUGAGACUAUAAUUUCAAUGUAAGUUCUCUCUCUCUCUCUUUUCCCACUUCCCUUCUCCUGCCUCGCUCUUUUUGUGAGUCUCGUCAUACUGUGGCAGCUAAUCUCCAAAUGAGACACUCAUUUUUAGGUGUUAUUCAAGUCUUCAUGAUAAAGGUAGGAUGGAGAAAACUGUAAUGACUGAAGCUUUUUGCCCCUUGCACAUCUUCUGGAAAAUACCUGUAAUGUCGAAGAUCAAGGACAUUCUUCUCUGAGUAACCAACCUGUCACAACAGGGACUGAGACUGUAAAGACAAAUCCUAGACCAGGCUUGUCUAGGAAGACUUCAUAGCCCAGAGGAUAAUGCGAAUGGAGUGAGGCUGGAGUUGUAAGCAGGCACCCAGGAAGUGCAGUGGAAACACAAAGGACUCAUUAAAUCGACUGGCUGAGUUAAAGCUCCUACAACCAGAUGCAGGUGCUGUGGAGGCUGGAGGUGAUCCAGGUGCCCUGGAGCUGGAGCAGCUAUGAGCCACCUGAUAUGGAUGGAAGUCCUCUUAAAGAGUACUUCGUUCAAAUCUGCUGAGCUACCUCGCCAACCCUUUGACUGGACUUGUGCCCUUCUCAGCUGGCCUUCUCCUCCUCUUCCUCCUCCUCCUCUUCCUCUUCUCUUUCUUCCUUCUCCUCCUUUUUUAUUUUUGCCAUAUUUGAUUCACCUACCAAGCCAUUAACCAAUCAGGCGCAGUGCAUGUCUCCUCAAACACACUCCGGCACUUAGUUCUCAAACCUAGGACAAAGCUCAUGAGGCAACAGUGACUUAAAGUGAAU